ANGCNCGGUACUCGCGAAUUGCCCUACCGGUUGAAUUUGAUCAUGGCUCAGAGCCAACGCUGUUAGGUAGUGCCUAACACAUGCAAGUCGAACGGCAGCACAGAGGAGCUUGCUCCUUGGGUGGCGAGUGGCGGACGGGUGAGGAAUACAUCGGAAUCUACUCUGUCCGGCAAUAUGGAUACGGGACAGGAGUGAUGAGAAUUAAACCCGGUUUUUUUUAAACACNGGCAGACGGGGGGGAGGGGGAAAAACAAAAUCAAACAACCCCCCCAAAGAUUUUUUUUAAACCCAGGGAGACCCCCCUUUUCANACACAACAUUUNAAACCCCCCUGGGNACCCCCAAAACAAUUUUAAAACCCAGGGUAGAAAAAGACCCCACCCCCGAAGGUUUUAAAGACCCCACGUGGAGUGAUGGGUGUGAGUGGGAGACUUUNGGGUCNGAACAUCGACACANCAAACACAAUGAUGGGGGAGAGCCCCACACAACAUGUAGUAGNACUGGGCAUGGGGUAAUUGGAGCACAAAACAUACGAGUUUNUCCCCCAGAGUUAUUGUUGUUUUCCCCAUCAUAGGAAUGAGGCGAGAAAAAGNGACACCACAGCCCCACUACGAAGUUUUACAUNCUUUUAUAGGGUCGUGCAAGUAUANACCUACCCACCAUACUGUACGGAGCANUNGAGAGUACCCACCCNCACAUCUAGGAGNUGGCGAAGAGAGNGCAAACAACAACAACCGAACUGNCGGGGGUNGUUNUUUGUGAUCGAGGUUGCUUNUNCGUACUGGGGCGGGGGGGAGAACGACAAACACCAGGGUAUACACAAAAGAAGGGGGUAUUGUUUUCUUUUUGGNGGCGCGGCAACAAACAAACACAAUGGAUGUGGAGAGCCCCACCAAGACCCUCANUAUGGGAUGCAACAACACAUUUNACGGUAGCAUUUACCUACACCUAGGUACAUGGUACAAAAACGACUUUGUUUUGCAGAAACAAGCAGCAGCCCCAGCAGUUAUAUCAAAAUGACUAGGGAAGCGUAUUUAGAUUUNAUCGGGGAGGNGGUCCGCCACACAAGGGUAGNUGGGANUAGUGGGUGUAUGGGNGUGUUUUUUUAUUAAANACUAGAUGCACCCAAACGUNAUANGGGUANUANGGGCCGNACCCCAACGGAACCCGAUGAAAGANCACGCGGCCCACGGCAAAAUGGAAANACUCGGGUUGNUGGGANAUGNCACCNCUGGGGGGAAAAUGCGCANCNGUGUGUGAAAAAAACGUCGUUUUUGUACCCGACGACCCCNCCGUGGGUGGGGNGAUUUUUUCAAACAUUCUAUGACGCAUCCCACCCCGUGUUGUUUCUAGCGGUGAUAACGGCGCGNGAUUGUUAUGNACACCCCUGGCUU
rnacentral:rRNA from 1 species